rnacentral:rRNA from 1 species
GAUGAACGCUAGCGGCAGGCUUAACACAUGCAAGUCGAGGGGCAGCGGGGGGCGCGCUUGCGCGUCCCGCCGGCGACCGGCGCACGGGUGAGUAACACGUAUGCAACCUGCCCCCGCCAGGGGUACAACCCUCCGAAAGGGGGGCUGAUACCGCGUACAUCCCCCGGGGGCAUCCCCGGGGGAGGAAAGCCCUACGGGGCGGGCGGGGAUGGGCAUGCGGCGCAUUAGGAAGACGGCGGUGUGACGGACCACCGUUCCGACGAUGCGUAGGGGUUCUGAGAGGAAGGUCCCCCACACUGGUACUGAGACACGGACCAG